ensembl:lncRNA
CACACACACACACACACACACACACACACCCACCCCAACACAGCCUCACACAACCCAACACAGCCUCACACACAGGCAAAGAACUAGAACAAAGAGAUUUUGGUUGUUUAUUUCCUGUAGCAAAGGAGUCCCAGACAGAGGGAGGAUGCUAGAGCCCUUUUGUACGCAGGUCUCUGUCGCCGUGGCGCCCUCCAGCAGCCACGCCCCUGUCGCCGUGGCGCCCUCCAGCAGCCACGCCCCUCUGUAGCAGUAGUCCCACCUCCACCCUCCUCUCUCUCUUUGCCACACCCUGUACAAACAAACGUGCUGUUAGCGUGCGCUAGGCCUGGAGUUGGCAAGAAAUAAAGACAUUUAAAAAAAUAAAAAAAAAUAAAAUUAAUUAAAUUCCCUUUCCUUUUCUCUCACGCUGUCUCCCUCUGUCUUUCUUCCUCCUCCUUUCUCUCUCUCUCUCUCUCUCUCUCUCUCUCUUCCUCUAUCCCUCGCUCUCUCUAUCUCUCUCUCUCCAUACAAUUAGCUGUAGACCUCUGCACCCAACUGCACCCUUCACUUUUGUAUUUAAGGUUAAAGUCAGUGUACAACCGAGAGCUGGAUGCAGGAUAGAGACUAUAUUAAAAUGUACUGUUAUUUAAAAUGUAAUAAAAAAAGCAGUUUGAGACGAUGUGGAGCCUCGUUGCCUUAUUUCUCCGGGGGGGGGAUUUGGACCCUUCUGACAGCUGUCAGUAAAGGAUCGCCAUGGCAACCAAACUGGAAAACCAGUAAGUCCUUUCAGGAUGGUGGAAGCGUAGAACCAGUCAGUUGGCAGGAAGUGAGGCGUGCUCCUAAGAUGGAGAGAUGCAUGGAGAGAUGGAGAGAUGCAGUCGUGGAGAGAUGGAGAGAUGCAGUCAGAGAGAGAUGGAGAGAUGCAGUCAGGGAGAGAUGUAGAGAUGCAGUCGGGGAGAUGGAGAGAUGCAGUGAGGAGGAGGACAGGGAGAGAUGGUGAUAAACAAUUCUACAUCCAUCAGCAUUUGCAAAGGUCACGCUAUAAGAGAGAGAGAAUACAUCAAUUUGAUAAACAGAUAAGGAAAUA